rnacentral:rRNA from 1 species
AAGACUUCGAUGGGUAGGGGUCCUGAGAGGGAGAUCCCCCACACUGGUACUGAGACACGGACCAGACUCCUACGGGAGGCAGCAGUGAGGAAUAUUGGUCAAUGGGCGCAAGCCUGAACCAGCCAUGCCGCGUGCAGGAUGACGGUCCUAUGGAUUGUAAACUGCUUUUGUACGAGAAGAAACAUCCCGACGUGUCGGGACUUGACGGUAUCGUAAGAAUAAGGAUCGGCUAACUCCGUGCCAGCAGCCGCGGUAAUACGGAGGAUCCAAGCGUUAUCCGGAAUCAUUGGGUUUAAAGGGUCCGUAGGCGGUCUUGUAAGUCAGUGGUGAAAGCCCGUCGCUCAACGACGGAACGGCCAUUGAUACUGCAGGACUUGAAUUACCAGGAAGUAACUAGAAUAUGUAGUGUAGCGGUGAAAUGCUUAGAGAUUACAUGGAAUACCAAUUGCGAAGGCAGGUUACUACUGGUUGAUUGACGCUGAUGGACGAAAGCGUGGGUAGCGAACAGGAUUAGAUACCCUGGUAGUCCACGCCGUAAACGAUGGAUACUAGCUGUUGGGGGCAACUUCAGUGGCUAAGCGAAAGUGAUAAGUAUCCCACCUGGGGAGUACGAACGCAAGUUUGAAACUCAAAGGAAUUGACGGGGGCCCGCACAAGCGGUGGAGCAUGUGGUUUAAUUCGAUGAUACGCGAGGAACC